GACAGUAUAAAACCAAAAAGAGGCAAAUUUCCACCAACCAAUGCAUCAUUUGAAGCCAUGCACAUGGACUUCAUAGAAUUAAAUCAGUGUGAGAGAAAGAAAUAUUGUUCAGUGUUAAUAGAUCCUUUCACUAAAUGGAUAGAAUUAUUUCCUGUCACUCAUCCAGAUGCAUUAACAGUAGCAAAAAUCCUGUAUAGAGAAAUCAUUUCUUGAUUUAGCAUUCCAAAACGAAUCUACAGUGACAAUGGAACUCAUUUUGUAAAUGAAAUAAAUAAAUAAAUAAAUAAAUAAAUAAUAACCAGAAAAUGCAAUUUCUGGAGAAAUUGCGAGAUGGAUUGCUCCAGCUAAAAUUGUAAUUGCUAAGAUGCUAUUGUAAAUGGUUUAAGUUCAAAAAUUAUGUGAAAGAUAUGAGAUUUGAAGAUUCAGAAAGGUUUAAAUCAGUUUAAAUGAGUUGGAAUUAGUUUGAAAAAAUUGAAUACUGAAUGAAGAAUGAAAUGAUUUAAAACUGGAAAAUUAAAAUGAUCAUAAUCUGAAUUUAUAGAGGAGUUGAAGGCUUUUAAAGUUGUGUAAAGAAAAUGUGAGAAAAGGGCCAAUUUGAAAAAAUCCAUAAUGCAUUUCUAAUGAGAAAAAUUGGUUGGAAAAUCUGGAAUAUGAAUAUGAGUAUGAAUGUUAGGAAAAUUUUGAAUAUAAGCUGGAAUCUCCUGAAGUUUGAAUGGUUUUGAAUAUGUUGAAGUAAGUGGAAGGAAUAAAAAAAAAAAAAAAAAAAAGGUACUGCUAAUGACACCCACAGCAGUAAAAAUAGCACAAAGAAGUAGUUGGAUACAUCUUUCCCAUUGCAAAAAAAAACCUAUAUGGGUUUUAGUUAGGAAAGUCUGACUUCAAAGGGGGGCGUCCUUAUAGUGGGCGUUCGUCUCAAUGUCAGUGAAGAUUAGAUGGUCUUGAAUUCCUUAGGAGCUUAGGAAAAUGGGGAAGUUAAGUAUCUUACUUCAGAUGAACUUAAGGAAGGAAAGAGAAGUGACAACAACAGACCAGAUGUGGAGACAGAAUGGCUAAUGAAAGUGACAGAGUAUAAAAAAUAAAAAAAAAUGGUGGAAGAAUAAUAUUAAUAAAGAUAUGAAUAAAAAUAUAGUGGGAGUGCUUCGCAAUCCCACUCAAUAAAUAUUUAAAAAAAAAAACUAAUUUGAAGUGAACAUGCGCUACAGAUAUGCAAAAAUAUCUAGUAAAAAUGAAGAAUCAGUCUAACUUCUAUGUAUGUACUAGGAAUUCCCUAACCAUAACAAACCUGUACGUGUUUCUGUAGCUGUACCUGAAUGACAGCAGACUGAUAAUAGGGCCUUAGUGACUUUAAUCCUAACUGUUGUAAUUUUCCAGACCAGUGUGGCAAAUUUAACCUCUGCAGUUAGUCUUAUUCCUUUGUUGAGCCACUCCAGAGUAAAAGAAACUAGCAAACAGAGUCAGACCCGACUUAUAUAGAUAGUUCCUCGUGAGGUACCAGAUGAGUAUAAACUAGUAAAUCAAGUUGCUGCAGGUAUACAAUGAACAAAAAUAUAGAUCGAAUCAGAAUCAACUACAUCCAUUUCAACGUUCAAAAGCUAGGUAAUUGGACUGAGGCUGGUUUUCAGGCCGGUCACUCGCAGUUAUCUGCAACAUCCCUGAUGGCUUUCCAAAACCGUAUAGCCCUUGACAUGCUGCUCGCAGAAAAAGGAGGUGUAUGUGCCAUGUUUGGAGAAACAUGUUGCACGUUCAUUCCUGAUAACACUGCUGCUGAUAGCAGCCUCACUCGAGCCAUAGAGGGCCUUAAAACGCUUAACAGCAAAAUGAAAGACCACUCAGGAAUAGAUAACUCCUUUUGGGAUGAUUGGAUGAAUGUAUUUGGAAAAUACAAAAAUCUUGUAGAUUCAGUCCUAAUCUCUGUUGCUGUUUUUGCAGCUAUUCUGACCUUGUGUGGAUGUUGUUAGAUGCCCUGUGUUCAUUCUCUUCUUAACCGCCUUAUCACCACAGCGUUGUCCCCUGUGGAGCAGCAGAUGCAGGAAUUGUACCCGCUGCUCCAUCAGCAGGACGAGGAGGACAGACUUGAUGACACUCAAUGGCCUGACCUGUGCCCCAAUUUGGAUGAUGAGUAUAAUUCUGACUAAAGCAACAUCUUGUACCUCCGUGUGUACAUUCUUUGUAGUUAUAAACAUGAACUUGCAGCUGAAAAUCGAGAGAAGUGGCUGAACUAGAGGGAUUUGGAGAAUUUGAGCAAAGUAAUGAUAAACAGGAGGGAAAUGUUAGAAUAAUGUGCAUAAAUGUAUAUAGAAGUUAUCAUUAUUCCUCAUAUUCUUAUGUAAGAGUUUAUACUACAAGUAUAAACUGCUUUGACCUCUUUUUAUACAUUAUAUAAGAGUAUUUUUAUCAUAUAAGAGUGUUUCCUAACUUCUCUCUCCAAUAGAUUUACUACACAGCACAACAAUGUUUCUUUCAGUUUUCUGUGACCAUGUUUUUCCUAUCAGCAGGUGUGGGUGUGGGGGUGACGUAUCCUCCGCUGAUGAAUCGUGGGAAGGAAAUAAGAGGAGGAUACACCCUUAUCAGAAGGAGCUCGUUAGAUGCAACAAAUGUCGCCUUGACCUUCACAUAUUCACAGUUGUUCAUUAUUAUGUUUUAUGAGAGUGCUUACGUUGCUGCACAUAUUUUCCCCACCCUUUAGAAACAUUGUGUAACCAGGGACAACCCUAAAUAAAAGAGGCCGGACAGAAAAAGCACCCUUAGAGUGGUAUUGAGAUAACUAAAAAAAAGAUCUCUGUCCAUUCUCCUCGAGUAUAUACCAUUGUCUUUCUCUUCUUUAUAUGUUUUUAGGUAUUUGGGCAGGUUUUAGACCUAACAUGAAGUCACUUAAACUUUGCUACUCUGAAGUAGUGAUAGGCAUGGCAGUUCUUUUAGAUGUGCUGAAUCACUAGAAUCAGUUCACUAAAAAGAUUCUUUCAAAAGAUUCGUUCACAGAAUCACCAAAUCAUUCAGUGCUUGGCAGGAGGAGCCUACAACUGCGACGUCCUGAACUCAUACAGAGCUGAACAAUACAGAAUUCAGUUCAAUACAUAGCUUCUAGGACUGGGAGACAAGAGUGUUUGGCUGUGUUGCUUUGGCAAACAGGUUUGUAAAAAUGAACUUGUUUAUGUUUAAAGUGUACUGUCUUUUGGUACACUAUGGCUGUGUCUCAAUUCAGAGACUGCACAGUCGGACGGCGCAUUUCAAGUGUGCGUGACGUCAUCACACGGCGCUAACGGUGUCCCAUUUGGCUCAUGAUUCUGAGCGCACUUCGAAUGCGGUCCCAAAACCACCCUGCCCCCGCCCCUUUUUCGAGCAUGCAUUUAUGCAUGCUUUCUUGGCCCUGGUAGCCCAGAAUUCUUUGCAUGUCGCUGCACAGCUGCGCAUUUUGGAUGAGAGGCCAGACUCGCUUGGAGACGCAGUCAGCUCAGGCUGCAUGAGCACAUGAUCUCUGAACUCACUAAAAUCUGCAAACCAAACAUUAUACUCUUUAGAAAAGUACUAAUCUGCUCUGCUACCACAAUCAAAAACAUUAGAAAUUAGUAAGCUGCCAAAACUAAAUUGGAGUAUCAGGGCUACAUCGAAUUUUUUUUUAAAGACUUAGAGGUUAAAGUUGUAAAUUUAGAAAAAAAAAAAGUCAUAAAGCUGCUUUAGCAGAGGGGGGAAUGGCUGGAGCUGGUCAACUGCAGGGUUAUUGGUGGAUGCAUCAGCUGGCCAUUCAGAGAGCUUUUGUGUUUUUUCAGGAAACAAUCCAGCUGAUGAUCAACAUUUGUGAUCCAGAGGGAGUCAAGCUCCGAGAGACACCAAUGCCUUAUUAUGGCAUAUGGAUUCAUGUCAUGAACUAAAGCUUAGUGCCAUUCAAGGCGAUUCACGGCUGCGUGACGGAUUUAUCCGCAGCAUAUCCAUUUCUGCCACCACAAAAGCAGCGAUUUCCUCCAAGUCCACCUGUUUGUUUUUUUUCUGUGGAAAAGAUGCAUUUCUCAUAUAUUCGUUUUAAAGUCCUUAUACUUAUGACAAUGUAAUGCUGAUGUGCCAAAGGAUGAAGUAUCUCCUUGUUUGUGAAACCUAUACUGAAGCACAGUUCCUUCAUUCAAAUGAUGCGCUUCAACCGAGAGGUUCCUGCAAGUCUGGUCUCUCUGUAUUAUCUGUAAUUUUUGUAAUUUAUGCUAGAUUUUUUUCAUAUUUUUGUUGUAAUUUUGCUGACAGCUGAUGGAUACUUCUGCUGGGCGAAGAGUUUACUCAAGAGAAGAGCUCCUUUCACUGAGGAAAAGCAAAUCUGGGCAACAACAACAAAAUUGAGCUCAGGUGCAUCCUGUUUCAACUGAUCAGCCUUGAAAUGUUCCUCCAACUGGAUUGCAGUCUACCUGUGGCAAACUCAGCUGAUUGGACGUGAUUUGGAAAGCCACACCUGUCUAUAUAAGAUCCCACAGCUGACAGAGCCCAUCAGAGCACAAACCAAGCCAUGAAGUUGAAAGAAUUGUCUGUAGACCUCCGAAACAGGGUUGUAUCGGCGCACAGAUCUGGGGAAGGUUACAGAAAAAUAUCUGCUGCAUUGAAGAUCCCAAAAAGCACAGUGGUCUCCAUCAUUAAGAAAUGGAAGACGUUUGGAAACACCAGGGGCCUUAUUUAUCAAACGUGCGUAGAAAAGGUUCUAAAUUCUGGCGUAGGAAUGAAAUUUAGAAUGUGCGUAAGUACAAAAAAAUCCAUAUUUAUCAAAUGUGCGGACACCGGUCGUACACACACACGUAAGUAAUUGGUGAUGAUAAAUCCCACCUGUUCUUUACUACCGUGCUCGUGCAUGGUUAGAGUCAUUUGCAUUCAGGAACGCCUCCAAUUGACCAUAUAUGGCAUCAACAAUCCCUUUAAAAAUGCGUGUAUGAAUGUUUUUCCUCCUCCUGGAGGUGCACACUCACAGCACUGUUCUGCAGAAUGAAUGAGUCGUGCGCUCCUCCAGGCCACCGGGCAACAAUGUUUAACAGAAACAAAUGUGCAUCGCAGAUUAUUUGUGCAUUGAUUGAAUGAAAUCUUUUCCUGUUGACGAAUCUGAAUUUAUUGUGUGAAGGUGCUUUUAUUGCGAUGUGGGUGCAAUCUAUGGCUCCAAUUGUGUUUGGGAAUCCGGCGAUGGCGUGAAAUCCUCGUUUUGUUUCGGCUUGUUGCUGAUGUGUGUUUGGGAACUGGAUGUAAAUUGAGGCCAGAGAAAUUAUUACAUCCAACUCUGCCGGCAUGAUUCUUUUUAGCGUUGGCUGCGAAAUAUCGCAUAUGUCUCAAAUCUCACGCUGAAAUGUUCGGGUUAGGGUGGAUAGGAGCUGGAUGUGCGCUGGGAUGGCUUUGGUGCGUUUUGUUUCUCGCUCCGACACGGGUAGUAAAUCACAGCGUAAAUCCAUUAAAAUGUUUUGGGGAAGCGGUACCUGCUGAGAAUCCACUCUGAGUUCUCACUGAACAGAUCAGCACGGUCUUUGAAAACGCGCUCCCUGCGGAGGAGCAGGCGCUUCUCCAAGUCCUCCAAUAGCGCAAAAUAAACCGUGAUACUUGUAUUUGUACUUGUAAGACUUCUUUUGAGGUUGUCCUGUCACAGCAGAUUUUUAUAGCUUGUCUCACCAAUCAUUCAAAAUGUCUGCUAAAUUACUAAUUGAUAAAUUUUGUAUAGAGGCAACGGGAACAUGUGUGAAGUUUGAGAUUGCGGAACGCUGUGACUCCUUUAAUGGGUUCUAUUUGUAGUUUUACUGUCCUACCACUAGGUUUUGUGUGUACUUAUGGUCAGAGUUGUGCUUAAAUCUACGCACGUUCCUAAGCACAAGUACAGGUUGAUAAAUUCCAGACUGCGUGGGAAUGUUCGUACGCACUCUUUACGCACACAUCUGUGCGAACGUAUGGUUGAUGAAUGAGGCCCAAGGACUCUUCCUAGAGCUGGCCGCCCAGCCAAAAUGAGCAAGCGGGGAGAAGGGCCUUGGUCAGGGUGGUGACCAAGAACCCGAUGGUCACUCUGACAGAGCUCCAGCAUUCCUCUGAGGAGAUGGGAGAACCCUACAGAAGGACCACCAUCUCUGCAGCACUCCACCAGUCAGGCAUUUAUGGUAGAGUGGCCAGACAGAAGCCACUCCUCAGUAAAAAGCACAUGACAGCCCGCUUGGACUUUGCUAGAAGGCACCUGAAGGACUCAUAGACCAGGAGAAACAAAAUUCUCUGGUCUGAUGAAACGAAGAUCGAACUCUUUGGCCUAAAUGCCAAGCGUGAUGUCUGCAGGAAACCAGGCACCGCUCACCACCUCGCCAAUACCAUCCUUACAGUGAAGCAUGGUGGUGGCAGCAUCAUGCUGUGGAGAUGUUUUUCAGCGGCAGGAACUGGGAGACUUGUCAGGAUCGAGGGAAAAAUAAAUGCAGCUAAGUACAUCGAAAUCCUUGAUGAAAACGUGCUCCAGAGCGCUCGAGACCUUCAACUGGGGCGACGGUUCAUCUUCCAGCAUGACAAUGACCCUAAGCACAUGGUCAAGAAGACAAAGGAGUGGCUUCAGGACAAGUCUCUGAAUGUCCUUGAGUGGCCCAGCCAGAGCCCAGAUUUGAACCCGAUUGAACAUCUUUAGAAAGACCUGAAAGUAGCUGUGCACUGACGCUGCCCAUCCAACCUCACUGAGCUUGAGAGGAUGUGCAAGGAAGAAUGGGAAAACUCCCCAAAUCCAGGUAUGCCAAGCUUGUUGCAUCAUACACAAGAAGACUGGAGGCUGUAAUCACUGCCAAAGGUGCUUCGAUCAAGUAUUGAGUAAAGGGUGUGAAUACUUAUGUAUAUGCAACAUUUGAGUCUUCUUAUUUUUAAUAAACUUGCAAAAUGUUCUAAAAAAAGUUUUUCUUUGUCAUUAUGGGGUAUUUUGUGUAGAAUUUUUGAGGGAAAAAGGGAAUUUAAUACAUUUUGGAAUAAGGCUGUAACAUAACAAAAUGUGGAAAAAGUCGUGUGAAUACUUUCUGGAUGCACUGUAAACCCUUUCUUCCUUCAAUCAUCAUGGGUAACGUCAACUCUCUGCCCAACAAAAGCAAUGAGCUGGAGAUCUUGGUGAAGACUGAGAAAGCAUACCGUGAGUGCAGUUUCCUGUGUUUUACUAAAACCUGGUUAUGUCAAAACAACUCGGACUCCAGUGUGGAUCUACCUGGCUUCACUCUCAUAAGGUCAGACAGAGAUGCUCAAGCUAGUGGCAAGAAGAAAGGAGGAGGUCUGACUUUAUUUCUCAACCAGAGAUGGUGUAACGCUUCACACAUAACUGUCAAGGAGAAGUUGUGUUGUCCAGAUAUUGAACUGUUGGCAGUUGCUCUUCGACCAUAUUAUGUUCCAAGAGAAUUUAGUCAUAUCAUAACAGUAGUUGUUUACAUUCCACCGAAAUCACCUGAAGAAUGUUGCGAUGUUUUGCAAAAUAUUGUUGCCAGGCUACAGACUCAACACCCUGAGGCACUAAUAAUAAUAUCGGGAGACUUCAACCAUGUCACCCUCUCCUCU